CAUCACUACGCUAGAUGCAUAUCAAUAAGCGGAGGAAAAGAAACUAACAAGGAUUCCCCUAGUAACGGCGAGUGAAGCGGGAAGAGCUCAAAUUUGAAAUCUUAAAGGGUUUCCCUUUACGAAUUGUAGUUUAAAGAAGUGUUUUCUGUUGGAGUUUCGGUAAAAGUUCUUUGGAAUAGGACAUCAUAGAGGGUGAGAAUCCCGUAUUUGACCAGUUACUUUCCAGCUUUGUGAUACACUUUCAAAGAGUCGGAUUGUUUGGGAAUGCAGUCCAAAAUGGGUGGUAAAUUUCAUCUAAAGCUAAAUAUUGGCGAGAGACCGAUAGCGAACAAGUACCGUGAGGGAAAGAUGAAAAGAACUUUGAAAAGAGAGUUAAACAGUACGUGAAAUUGUCAAAAGGGAAGCGUUUGACACCAGUGUUGUUUAGUUGAAAAUCAAUUCAAUAAUUUUUGAUUUUGAGUAGUAUUGACUUCAUCAGCUUGCUGCUUUCUUUUCGGAAAUUAUUGAAUGCACUUUUCAGUUAACAAGUCAACAUCAAUUUCUUUUGUUGUAAAAGGGUAAGAGGAAGGUGGCUUACGCUUCGGCGUAAGUGUUUAUAGCCUUUUACCUCUGCAAUCGGAGAGAUUGAGGACAGCAGCGUAGACUCUUCGGGGUUAGAUACACUUGUGCUAAGCUAUAGCCUUGUAUAGACAACUUGUUGACUAUGCUCAGUCAUGUAGCUUACUCGCUUGUGCUAUUUUACCUACGCUUAGGAUGUUGACGAGACUGUCGAUCUC
rnacentral:rRNA from 1 species